AGUUUGGCAUGACGUCAGAUGAGAUAGAUUUCAUCGUCCACCAGGAGACGAUUCGUCACAACGCACACCCUUCCCGUCCUGAGAUACGGGGGUUUCCCCAAAUCAGUCUGCACAUCGGUCAAUAACGUGGUCUGCCAUGGCAUACUUGACACCCGACAACUACAAGAUGGAGACAUUAUCAACGUUGAUGUGACCUGGUAUAAUCCACUCCAAUGGUUUCCAUGCCAUGUCCCUACUUUAUUGGACAUGGCAUAGGCUCCUACUUCCAUGGUCACCCAGACAUCUUGCACCACGAGCCCAUUUUGAUGGAGGGAUCGUUAGAGUUGAGAAUCCUGAAGGACAAGUAGACAGCGGUCUGCCGACGACAAGAGGUCAGCCCAGUUUGAACACACGGUAGCCAUCACCUCUGGUGGAGUGGAUAUUCUCACCAAACUACCUGAGGAGGACGAGGCGAUGCCAAUUGAAGUCUAAUCACUGUUCUCUGCUCAACAACCCUGCCACAUCCACAUCUAUGAAGAGGUAAAGCACCAAACUGACCCAGGACCAGGACUUAGCACCACGGAGAGGAUAGGAAACUGGGCAUAGAUAUGACUCAAAUGAGACUGCACUAGUGCAUUAUUUUCUAUGUCUGCUGUGUAGAAAAAUAAGUUAUAUUAUUUAAAUAAAAUGUUUGUUCACUUUCAAUUAGUAAACCAGAUCUGUCUGAAUAAAUUAUUUCAUUAAAGCAUAUGGUUAUUUUUCUAAUUCUACAAAAUAUCCUAAUUGACAUUUCACUUUUUUGUCUGACAAAAUAUUUGGAAAUAAUAUGUGGUUUAUGUUGCUAUAAUUUAUUUGGACUAGGACUUUUCCAUUCAUGAAAUCAAAUUGAUUACAAUCAGAGGAGCACAUUAUUUUCUAUCACUGACAUCAUCAUAAGAUUAUCUUGUGUUAACGUUGUUGGGACUGCAAGGUUUGCAGAGUAUCGUACGUCUACUGGGCUGAUUAUGUCAUGAUGUGAUGUUAUUGAUGCUGUGUUUGGCUCCAUAAUAUUUUCUGAUCUACUAAUAAUCUCUAAUGACAUCAACCUCCAGCUCUACAUUGUUAGCGACUUAUUUUGUACUCGCUCUUGUUCAAUUAGAAACCAUGUCCUAUUUAUAUCACUGAGGAGACUGAUUCUACUGACGCAAUGUAUUUUAAUGGGAUCGGGUAGGAUUUUGUCAGUCAAAGACUUUUUCUACUUACCCAGAGUCCGAUUAAGUCAUAGGUACUACAGUAGCAUUAGCGCAAAUGCUAACUAGCUUUAGCACAAUAUCUGGAAGUCUAGCUGUUCCAAUCGACUGCCAGUCAUUGCGCUGACGCUAGUUAGUAACUUCCUACAAACUGCACGCAGAGAUAUAAAAAUGGUAUCCAUGAGUUCAUCUGACUCUGGGUAAGUAGAGAAAGAUUGCCAAAAUCUCGCACUAUCCCUUUAAAAACCUCUUCUGGAUCUUACCCCCCCUUUUUCUUUUAUCGCCUAAAAUGACAUACCUAAAUCUAACUGCCUGUAGCUCAGGACCUGAAGCAAGGAUAUGCAUAUUCUUGAUACCAUUUGAAAGGAAACGCUUUGAAGUUUGUGGACAUGUGAAAUUAAUAUAGGAGAAUAGAACACAUUAGAUCUGUUCCAUCUUUGAAAUGCAAGAGAAAGGCCAUAUUAUCAGAUAGGAGUUUAGGCGCAAUUUAGAUUUUGGCCACCAGAUGGCAGCAGUGUGUGUGUGUAAAGUUUCAGUCUGCCAGGAGUUUUUCCAAAUGAGCCGAAUUCAUCAAUUGAUACAUCUUCAAGUACAUAACUAUAGAGAACAUACAAAAUGCUAUGGUAAUAAAAAAAAAUAAGU